rnacentral:rRNA from 1 species
GAUGAACGCUGGCGGCGUGCCUAACACAUGCAAGUCGAGCGCAGCGCGAGUAGUUUACUACUUGGCGGCGAGCGGCGGACGGCUGAGUAACGCGUGGGAACAUGCCCCAAAGUGAGGGAUACUGCCCGAAAGGGUAGCUAAUACCGCAUAUGAUCUUCGGAUUAAAGGAUUUAUCCGCUUUGGGAGUGGCCCGCGUCGGAUUAGGUAGUUGGUGAGGUAAUGGCUCACCAAGCGCGAUCCGUAGCUGGUCUGAGAGAUGAUCAGCCAGACUGGGACUGAGACACGGCCCAGACUCUACGGGAGGCACAGUGAGGAAUUUCCACAAUGGGCGAAAGCUGAUGGAGCAACGCCGCGUGCAGGAUGAAGGCCUUCGGGUUGUAAACUGCUUUUAUAAGUAGGAAUAUGCGGUAACUUAUA